rnacentral:rRNA from 1 species
AUUGAACGCUGGCGGCAGGCUUAACACAUGCAAGUCGAACGAGUGGCGGACGGGUGAGUAAUGUUUGGGAAUCUGCCUUAUGGAGGGGGAUAACUACGGGAAACUGUAGCUAAUACCGCAUACCAUCGGAUGAGCCCAUGUGGGAUUAGGUAGUUGGUGGGGUAAAGGCUCACCAAGGCGACGAUCCCUAGCUGGUCUGAGAGGAUGACCAGCCACACUGGGACUGAGACACGGCCCAGACUCCUACGGGAGGCAGCAGUGGGGAAUAUUGCACAAUGGGCGCAAGCCUGACGCAGCCAUGCCGCGUGAAUGAAGAAGGCCUUCGGGUUGUAAAGUACUUUCAGCAGGGAGGCGUUAACCACAGAAGAAGCACCGGCUAACUCCGUGCCAGCAGCCGCGGUAAUUC